rnacentral:rRNA from 1 species
UGGGGAAUAUUGGACAAUGGGGGGAACCCUGAUCCAGCCAUGCCGCGUGUGUGAAGAAGGCCUUUUGGUUGUAAAGCACUUUAAGCGAGGAGGAGGCUCUCUUGGUUAAUACCUGAGAAGAGUGGACGUUACUCGCAGAAUAAGCACCGGCUAACUCUGUGCCAGCAGCCGCGGUAAUACAGAGGGUGCGAGCGUUAAUCGGAUUUACUGGGCGUAAAGCGCGCGUAGGUGGCUAAUUAAGUCAAAUGUGAAAUCCCCGAGCUUAACUUGGGAAUUGCAUUCGAUACUGGUUAGCUAGAGUAUGGGAGAGGAUGGUAGAAUUCCAGGUGUAGCGGUGAAAUGCGUAGAGAUCUGGAGGAAUACCGAUGGCGAAGGCAGCCAUCUGGCCUAAUACUGACACUGAGGUGCGAAAGCAUGGGGAGCAAACAGGAUUAGAUACCCUGGUAGUCCAUGCCGUAAACGAUGUCUACUAGCCGUUGGGGGAUUUGAUCCUUUAGUGGCGCAGCUAACGCGAUAAGUAGACCGCCUGGGGAGUACGGUCGCAAGACUAAAACUCAAAGGAAUUGACGGAUGCUAGACG